rnacentral:rRNA from 1 species
CCUACGGUGGGCAGCAGUGGGGAAUAUUGGACAAUGGGCGAAAGCCUGAUCCAGCCAUGCCGCGUGUGUGAAGAAGGCCUUCGGGUUGUAAAGCACUUUCAGUGGGGAAGAAAGCCUUGGGGCUAAUACCCUCGAGGAAGGACAUCACCCACAGAAGAAGCACCGGCUAACUCCGUGCCAGCAGCCGCGGUAAUACGGAGGGUGCGAGCGUUAAUCGGAAUUACUGGGCGUAAAGCGCGCGUAGGCGGUCUGAUAAGCCGGUUGUGAAAGCCCCGGGCGCAACCUGGGAACGGCAUCCGGAACUGUCAGGCUAGAGUGCAGGAGAGGAAGGUAGAAUUCCCGGUGUAGCGGUGAAAUGCGUAGAGAUCGGGAGGAAUACCAGUGGCGAAGGCGGCCUUCUGGACUGACACUGACGCUGAGGUGCGAAAGCGUGGGUAGCAAACAGGAUUAGAUACCCGAGUAGUC